GAUGAAGAACGUAGCGAAAUGCGAUAAGUAAUGUGAAUUGCAGAAUUCAGUGAACCAUCGAAUCUUUGAACGCACAUUGCGCCCUCUGGUAUUCCGGGGGGCAUGCCUGUCCGAGCGUCAUUUGCAACCCUCAAGCCCGGCUUGUGUGAUGGGUGCCGUCCCCUACGGGACGCGCCCCGAAGGCAAUGGCGGCGUCGCGGUUAUCCGAUCAGCCAAAGUGUAUGGGGCUUUGUCACUCACUUUACGGCCCGGACCGGCGCCAGUCCGAAUCAAUCUUUUUUCUAAAGUUGACCUCGGAUCAGGUAGGGAUACCCGCUGAACUUAAGCAUAUCAAUAAGCGGAGGA
rnacentral:misc_RNA from 1 species